rnacentral:lncRNA from 1 species
GUUCCUUUUGCUCUAGUUGUACAAGAGCCUGUAGAAUUGCAUAUAGCAAAACCAGAAAAAGAACCUAAGCGGAUUAGCUUCUCAUGGGACAGUAUCAGUGAGAGAGCUCCUUCCAAAUCAGCAGAGCUGAAGGCAUCUAUCAGAGUGUCUCCUAUCCAGACUGUCCAGCUUCCCUGUCAAGUAGAGGAUGUCAGAUCUCCCCAUUUUUCUCCAAAAAUGUCACCUGUGGCAGGUAAUUUAGCCAGUCAAAAAUUUAAGGAGAGAAAACUAAUCUUUAACUUUGUUUUUGAACAAAGCAAGGCAUUUCCUUUUAAUGUCUCAAAUGCUUAUGGUUCAGUGGACCAGAUCACACACACUGCUGGACUCUUGCGUCUUGAUGCUGCGGGCAGAGAGCCAUCUGAAGAUGAGUUCCUGAGGACAGAAGAGCCUGUUUGCACUGGCCAUUCUCCCCAGUUUCUGCCGUUGGACAAUUUGUCACCCGACCUCUCCGUGGAGCAAAGAGAGGAACUAAGACACAGUGAUCCAGGCAUUCCCACUGAAGCUAGACCUACAACCCAUGCGGAGAGUGUUCCUCAAACUCCCAUCAGUCAAGUCUGGAUUCUGUAUCAUCUUGCACACAUGACUGAUGAGGGAACUUUGUCCACCAAAGUUUUGUCCCAACCUCCUUUUAAUGGUUGUGCUUAUAUUCGAAUGUUUGGGCCUGGCCACGUCCUGCUAGCAGAGAGAUCUUCUCGUCAUGCUCCACCUGAUAUGGAACCAGUAAGAGGAUGUCUGAGCCCAGGAGGUAGCUUUGUAUCUGUUCCUUCGCAGCCAGCUUCCACAGACAUAUCCCAUCCAGGGAUGAGCAUACCAAAUUAUUUUCUGUCACUGGAGGACAGUCUGGACAAUGAGGCUCAGAAUUCUGUUACUGUCAGAACAAGCAGCAGGAUGCUCUGUCAAGUUCUCAGCAACACUGGAAGUAUGGUUUAUUCACCUGCUAUCUUCCGCUCAGUCACCCUUGCUACACCUUUGGAUGGACAAGCAGUUAAGUCCAAACCAUAUUCCACAAGCGCCCCUGUUAUAUUAUAGGGGCAGGCAGGAGCACCAGCCUCGCAAAGCUUCCAUCGUGGGUUUUAAUAUAGAAAAUAUGCAGAAUACACUGUUUCUAUAUGUAAUCUUUCUGCAUGGCACACCUGAAGGUAGCUCUUACAUUAAAAAUGAGCAUCAGGUAC